UACCAACUAUCCUACAUAGUCCUACCAACUAUUUUACUUAGUCAUUUCAUAGGGACAUGAGAACAAAGAUGGAAGAUUUGCAAACAUGUACAAGUCAAGAUUGAAAAACAGAAGAAGAUCAUUUUAUUUUAGGAAGAAGUUUGGUACAUAGUUGAGGAACAAAAAAUGAAAAUACAGAGCACAAAGCAGAAUAAAGUCUAAGG
rnacentral:lncRNA from 1 species